rnacentral:lncRNA from 1 species
GAGGAUGCGAAUCAAAGUCACGUAACACAAGGACGUGCAAGGAAAAAAUUAAAUUGACAGGUGUAAGCAAAAACCUAGGUAAUGUGCUUAAAGCCGGUUUACGCGUAUUAACAACAAUGGAAAUGUCGUAUGCAAAGGGUCAAAAUGGGGAAAAAUACCAUCAAUGUAUCGAUAAAAUAAUCGGUGGAAUAAUGACAUGGGAAAUAUGGAAUCCACGGAUUAAAAUCGAGCUUAACAAUGAAAGGAUUCAAAGGAACAAGGCAAAAAUCUAAUAAAGUAUCGCAUUGUUUUAGACAUUCAAAUGGCGUAUUUACAAUGGUCGUAAUCGGGAUAAAUAAAUGAAAAAAUAAAAUAAAUUGUAAAUAUAAUGUCACAAAUAAGAAGUAUGUGUCACAAAAAAUAGAAAGAAAAACAAUUUGGAUGGUUAAAAAAAUGUAAAAGAAAACAAAAAUAAGAUUGAAAAAGAAUGGAAAAAUGGAAAAAAUGGAAAACUACAAGAAAAAGUGGCAGCAAGGGUUUGAACCCAGGAGAUGGGGACCGGAGAAAUGAAGCUUCAAC